UCAGCUCCAGCCCCAGUGCCAGCUCCUGAGCUGGAGCCAGCUGGACCAUUGGCUCCAGGGAGAAUCCUCACUCCAACUGGAGAGAUAACAGCAGAGCUAGAUCCAGCCCCAGAACCCACCUGCCGCUGGGAUGUGACCAGCGAGAACCUGCUGAGGGAGGAGAAGCAUGACUUCUUGGAGUUCCCUCCCAGGCUGGUGACAGAGCAGGUGACACUGAUUGAUGUGGUGAACAGCGGGGCGCUCACGGCAGGAGCUCUUCAAGAAAGUGAUGCCCCACGACUUCCUGGACUCCAUCUUGUCCCAGUGUGACAACAGGGGCAAUGAGCACCUGGCACCCACCAUCCAUGCCACCACGACCCACUUUAACAGAGUGGUCGAAUGUGUCGUCACCACCUGCAUUGUGGACCUGAGCAUGACGGCCUAGGACAGGGCCAGGGUGGUGGAGCUCUGCAUCCAGGUGGCCAAGGAAGAACUGGACAAAACUUAAAAAGUUGAUGAAAACAAGCCAGCGGGAGAGCAGGAAGCUGCUCAAG